GCUGGGGUGGUCGAGUGGUUAAUGGCACCGGGCUGUAAACCCGGCGGGCUUCGGCUCUACGAAGGUUCGAAUCCUUCCCCCAGCACCA
rnacentral:tRNA from 1 species